ACCAUUCUGUAUUAACUUUCCCAAGAUGCAGUAUCCUGGCAUUUUUCUUCUACCUGGAGCAUAAUUGCAUUUUUAGUAUAGUCUGUUGCAUAUUACUUCAGUGCGCUUUCCAGUUUGCUUUCCAUUUCUCCUAAUUGGAAGCAGGGACAGACUUGGUCUUGUGCUUAAUUUCUCUGUUCGCUCCCACUUACAAGAUGGGCAAGAUGGCAGAAGGAUGAAUGAUUUUGAGGGAAGAGCUAAUAUCAUGCUGGAAGGGAUAUAUUGCAUUGGUUACUUCUGACAACCAAGGCAGAUAUCAAGGCAGAGCAGGCAAGAAGCAGCCUUUAGAGACAAGAUCACAAAUGAGAAGGAAGAGGUUAUGAAGACAAUCAGCUCUGUCCAGGUAUGAAACUUAGAAAGAGCUGUAACUGUUACAAUAUUCCAAUUCCCCAGUGGAUAGAGCCUUAGAGAGAAUCAUAGAAAGAUUUGGACUGGAAGACGUCUUCUCAAAGAUAAUUGAGUCGAAGCUCACAUCAUCUAGUCCAACAAGUACUGCAUUAUUACAUCUGACAUGAAGGUUAUGGAAGUCAGCACUAAACUUUCAAGGUUUUUCCCUGAAGGAUGAGAGGACAUCAGAACUGAGCAUUUUCCCAGGCCUCCAAAACAGUUUACAUUGGCUACCGAUAGUACCCCAGUGGACCAAGAAGCAAAUCGCAUAAAGGUGGUGCUGAACUUAUCACAAUGAUGCUUUCUAAGGGUGGCCUUUGAGCCACAAAGUAACUUCAAGGCCAUGAACAUCCCUCAGGACACAUUGUCUCCUGCAGCUGCCUAAAACAAUAUGCUUGAAGACCCACAUGCUGACUUUAUGCGGUAACUGCCUCUUUGGCUGUGACUGUCCUUUGCUCUUUGCCUACAGUCUUGUAGCACGUGGCAUCAGGCUGCUGUGGGGGCUGUCCGGCUGUGCAAACACACCCAUGGGCACCAGCACCAGCUCACACACCAGUGAGCCACCCUGGGCAGUGACAGCACGGACACACGCUCCCUCUACCACUCUGGUACUUCAGCACUAGUGAAUGAUCUCACUUUUCUCUUUUCUUUUUAUUUCUUCCCUAUUUACUUCUUUUUGUGUAUACUCCUUAUUUUCCUGCCUAUUUUUCUGUUUUGGUUUUUUAAUGUGCUGCAGCUUUCUAUUCCUUUAACUAACCCUGUGCUGAUUUCUCUUCACUCCCCUCCUCUCCUCUC